GCCGGGCAUGGUGGCUCAUGCCUGUAAUCCCAGCACUCUGGGAGGCUGAAGUGGGUGAAUCACUUGAGGUCAGGAGUUCAAGACCAGCCUGGCCAACAUGGUGAAACCCCGUUUCUA
ensembl:misc_RNA Metazoa_SRP Metazoan signal recognition particle RNA